GUGCUCGCUUCAGCAGCACAUACACUAAAACUGAAAUAAUACAGAGAACGUUGGCAUGGCCCCUGCACAAGGAUGACCUGAAAUUCGUGAAGCAUUCCAUAACAAA
ensembl:snRNA U6 U6 spliceosomal RNA